UUUUUUGAUUUUCUCAUUGCUAUCCUAUAUUUUUAUUCAACAUGUCUUGUUUUUUAACCCUUCCUCCUUUUCUUAUCUACCGAUAACUUAGCAAAGAAGAGGAUCAAAGAUAUCUUAUAUUUUUGAGCUAUUAAUCAAUGAAAUAUUCAAUAAUUUUUACUUCUUUUAUUAAGAUCUUAAGGUACUAAAUUUCAAACAACAAAAAGAGAAGGAUAGACGGUGAUGAAUUUCCCCCUUGUUAAAUUAAAUAAUCUAGCCAUUGUUUGAAGACUCUAUAGAUGGAUCUUUAAGAAGUUAGAGUAGAAUCACCCCAUCCAUUUGAAAGAAUUAAUUUGUUGAAGCCUGAACACCCUUUUGUCUACACCUAUCUAUUUUAUAUCGACAUAAAAAAUUCUAUAGAUGGAGUAACUCAUAUCUUUCCGCAAUACCUUCAAAGGCAUCAAGGCUAGCUCAACCUAGUAAUAUGGAAAAAUUGUUCUUUGCCUCUGUGUGCUAGCCAAUUUGCUUAGUGUGUAGUUCUCUCCAACACAUUUAAUCCUUAUUUAUUCCCUAUUAGUACAUUAAGGAGGGAUAAUACAACUAUCUGGUCAUUGGAGGAGGUCCCUCUUAGGCAACUUGGAUGAUCCCAAAGACUGAGGUUGAGUUGAUCAUUGAUUUAUUGGCGCUUAAUGGAACAUUUGGUGUUCUUAACCAUACAUCAUUGUAUUUCUUUUUGUGAUUUUUGUGAGAUUUGAUUUUAUUGUGUAACAUAUGAAGGAAAACAUGUCAAGAAUACAAAAGUGUUAAAUUCUGAUAAAAAUUGUUAUAUGAUGAGUCUUGCUUUACCCUAUAGAUCUCGAGACAAACUGUAUAUGAGAUGAUGUUAAAAUAGUUAUCUAACAACCAAAAUACAAUUAGGGGAAUCAUUUGUCCUAUGAACC
rnacentral:lncRNA from 1 species